AGCUGGUCUGAAAGGAUGAUCACCCACGCUGGGACUGAGACACGGGCCACACUCCUACGGGAGGCAGAAGUGGGGAAUAUUGUACUAUGGGCGCAAGCCUGAUCCAGCCUUGCCGCGCGAGUGAUGAAGGGCUUCGGGUUGUACAGCUGUUUUAUCCGGGACGAUAAUGACUGUACCGGAAUUAUAAGCCCCGACUAACUUCGUGCCGGCAGUCGCGGUAAUACAAAGGGAGCUUUAGUUGCUCGGAAUCACCGGGCGUAAAGCGCCCGUA
rnacentral:rRNA from 1 species